GUACUUGCUUCGGUAGUUCAUUUACUAAAAUUGGAACGAUACAAAAAAGAUUAGCAUGGCCCCUGCGCAAGGAUGCAUACUGGACUACGCGAGCUUUAUCUAUUUUCC